CUCAUCCUGACCUGAGGUCUCUUUAUUCCAAUUGUCUUCAAUCAAAUUCUGACUUUGUUGCAGAUGCCAGCAGAAGUUAUCCAAAUGAAAUGGAAAUAAAUUGAUUACAAAUAAUAUUCAAAUAAAAAAUAAAUAACUUGUGAUACCUGCUGAAAAAUUUAGUGACUGACAUAUAUCUUAAAUAUGUGUCUCCUUUAAUUUGGUCUUUCUGUUAAUAAUGUGGUAAACUAAAGGCUAAAGGUAGUCCAGCCUAUGAAUCAGGAGUAACAUAGGCAUGAGUUUUUCUUGUGUUUGCAUAUACACUUAAAAGUUGGUUACUUACAAGAUAUAACUUUAAAUCUCAUAAAAAUUAUUGUUACACAACUUUGAACUGUGUUUUUUCUUGUGUAAAAGUGAAAAAGUAGUGAACUAGGCAAAACAGAAUGUAGUAAAAGAUACUCUCACCUGGCCAUCAAUAUGGAAACAUUUAAUUUAAAAUAGUUUCCAGAAACAUCAAGAGAAGAUGCAUAUUAGUGUGUUAAUUAUUCUCAUUCUCCAUAGCAGGAACUAUGCUUUAUUCAUCCUUGUACUCCUGAAAGCCAAGCUGGCCAGUAGAAGGUUUAUAGAAAAUGUCUUAUAAAUAUGUUUGUUUUAUUGUACAACUUUUGUCUUGUUUAUAUAAAAUGUAUAUAUAGAUAAGUGAUUUUUUCUAUUAGUCAUAAAUAUUGAUUUCACAUGUAGAUGGUGUGAAAUGCAGAUGUGGAUCCACAUUUGACCAAACUUGUUCAUCACAGAGUUAUCACAAUCUCUGGGUCUAAUCUAAGAAAUAUACUGUUUUCUUAUACCAAGUCAAGACUCUAUGACCUGCUCCUCUACCUAUUUUCACCAUUCUCAUCUCUUCCUAUUUACAGCUUCAAGAAAGGCCUCCUCUGCUAAAAAUGCUCUCUGAUUAGCCAUUCACUGCUUCCUGAACUAUGAAGACAUCUUCUAGGAAUACUCAGGAUCUUCUGCUAUGUGGCUUUAAUUUAUUUUAAGAUUAAUUCCUCAUUACCUUCUUACACAAAGCCACCAUUAGCAUAUCAAGCACAGCUGUACAAAUUUUUAAAAGGCCAAAAGAUGUAUCUGCCAAUUCUAGGAGGAUAUAAACCUGAAGGCACAAAUCUGGGCUGGAGCACAUGGUUUCCCUUGUGAGAAGAAAAAGUCUCCUUCCUCUGAAUGGACACACCUUGCACACCAGGGCACAAGGUUUGUCUAGAAGAGCACAGCUGAACAUCAUAAAGUGCAGAACCACACACCUGGCAUCCUUGUCCCUACACAAGACGGGGUUUCACCGGUUAGCCAGGAUGGUCUCGAUCUCCUGAUCUCGUGAUCCGCCUGCCUCGGCCUCCCAAAGUGCUGAGAUUACAGACAUGAGCCACCACGCCCGGCCACCUUGGAUCCUUUAAAAGUAAUGUAUGGUUUAAGGAGGAAAUUUGGUUGAAUACGUUUAAGGAAAUAUUAAUCCAACCUGUUUAAUAAACAUUACCUGUGAACAUUGCAUUUUGAAACUGUUCAAAUAUACCAAAUGAUUCAUAUUAAUUAGAACAAAAAGUCCAAAAAGAGAAAACUACAAAUUCUAUUACACUAUUUAAAAUAGCAUACAAAAACAAUUUUGAGCAAAAUAAUGUAAAAGUAGAAACUGAUAAAUUAAAAAAUAGAAACGUAGAAUUAAUUCAAUUUAAUCCCUGUAUCAUUGGAUACACACACAGACAUCAAAGAGAGAGAGAACAUGAAAUAUAUUAGAACAUUAGGUAUGAGAAGAAGGUAUAUAUCCAAAAUUAAAUAUAAAUUUAACUGCUAUCUGGGUUAUUAUUUUAAAAUCUCACUUAAAUGAAUCUAUAUCUGAGCAGAUACAAAUUAUUUACAUUUUUCUAAAGGGUUAACUGAUAAAUUCUCAAAACAUUUCAACUAUCAGAAAAAUCAUCAUACUGUGUAAACAACUGCAGAAAACACAAAAUAAUAAAUUCUCAUGUUUUCAAACUAACAAAAUUCUUCUCUUAAUGAUUUCCAAAACACAUAAAAAGAAAAUGACAGAUCAUUCCUAAUAUUUAUUCAAAUUUUUUAAAAAAAUUAACGAUAUAAUCCAGCAGUAUGUUAUAGAAAUAAUAAGUAAAAUUAGUUCUAAUAUGACAAAGGUGAUUUAAUAUUUGAGAAU
rnacentral:lncRNA from 1 species